CCAUCCGGGCUCUAUCUCGUUUAAUCGAUCGAUAAAGCCAACCUCCCUCCUGCGCCUCUGCUCCGUCCAGAAUACCACAGGUCUACAUCGCCUAGGCACUAGGUUACCAUUGGCCGGACGACGCCCGUGACCCUCCAUUAUAAGCCAUGCCGGCGAUAGCCCCCACUCACCACGCCCCCUUCCCCACACAGAUAAGCCGCGCGCGACGGCGGCGCUCGAGACGCCGCGACGGCAGCGUGGAGACGGCCGUCGAGGUUGGAGCUUUUUUUUUUUUGCGGGUGAGGUUGGACCUGACAGGGGGUAGCGGCGCCGCAGCGAGGGUGUCCUCGUCGACCUUGGACCCACGUGCCCGUGGCUGACCUCGACGGCGGCAGUGAUGGCUGCAGCUGCUUCCUGUCGUCACCGACGGCAGUCCGCACUCGCACCAGACGUCGCCAAGGCGUGAGGGCGCCACUAGAACGCGCGGCCCUCGAGCGGGACCUCUCACUGCCGCUUCCGCCACUGGCCACUGCAGCCACGGCCGUGUGCCGCCGACGACGUUUUGUCUUUCUCUUGCUUUUCAUUUUUCAAGAUUUUGUCACUUGGUGGUCAGUUCGUAUCUUGGUCGCUGGAUUGGUCUUUCUCUCUUCCCUCCCCUGUUUCUUGGUUAUUCGUAUCUCAAUCAGUUCACAAGCGAAGUUGGUGCUCAGUUUGGAUCUAUCCCCUGUUCUGAAAAUAUUUUCUUUGAUGAAGUUGCCUUGCACUUGUUUGAUGGACUGACAGUCGCUGGUGUCCACACACGGUCCGCCGGCGGUUCUGCUCUUCUUCCUCCCUUGUCUUCAUCCCAUGAAUCCACGAACAGCAGGCAAGAACAAGGGGAGGAACCAACGAAGGCUGCGCAGCCACCGGCGAGGAGGAUGGGGCUGGUUGCUGCUGUGUUCUUGUGCACACCAACUGUUUGUAUAAAUGUUUCUGAGGGGAGUUGCUAACUUGCUAUACCAACGGGUUUUGUACUUUUGUUAAUCAGGUUGCUAUACCAACGGGUUUUGCUCAGAUCUGAUUAGUACUUUAGUAUGAUGAAGUCAUUAGUAGCGCAGUGUUAAGUAUGGUGCUUGAUCUGUACUUGUUCUGAAAUAUGGAACUCUGAAAUCUAUUCUCUCUUGCUACAAGUUCAAGAGUGAAGUGUUAAGUAAUUUUGUGCUCGUGUUUGAGUCAAAGAUCUUGUACAAUGCUGCUGUACAGGAAACUUUUUUGCC